rnacentral:rRNA from 1 species
AUUGAACGCUGGCGGCAGGCCUAACACAUGCAAGUCGAGCGGAUGAAGGGAGCUUGCUCCUGGAUUCAGCGGCGGACGGGUGAGUAAUGCCUAGGAAUCUGCCUGGUAGUGGGGGAUAAUGUCCGGAAACGGGCGCUAAUACCGCAUACGUCCUGAGGGAGAAAGUGGGGGAUCUUCGGACCUCACGCUAUCAGAUGAGCCUAGGUCGGAUUAGCUAGUUGGUGGGGUAAAGGCCUACCAAGGCGACGAUCCGUAACUGGUCUGAGAGGAUGAUCAGUCACACUGGAACUGAGACACGGUCCAGACUCCUACGGGAGGCAGCAGUGGGGAAUAUUGGACAGUGGGCGAAAGCCUGAUCCAGCCAUGCCGCGUGUGUGAAGAAGGUCUUCGGAUUGUAAAGCACUUUAAGUUGGGAGGAAGGGCAGUAAGUUAAUACCUUGCUGUUUUGACGUUACCAACAGAAUAAGCACCGGCUAACUUCGUG